rnacentral:rRNA from 1 species
AUUGAACGCUGGCGGCAUGCCUAACACAUGCAAGUCGAACGGCAGCGCGGGUAGCUUGCUACCUGGCGGCGAGUGGCGGACGGGUGAGUAAUAUGUAGGAAUCUACCUAGAGGAGCGGGAUAACUUGGGGAAACUCAAGCUAAUACCACAUAAUCCCCACGGGGGAAAGCAGGGGACCUUCGGGCCUUGCGCCGUAUGAUGAGCCUACAUCGGAGUAGCUUGUUGGUGGGGUAAAGGCCUACCAAGGCGACGAUCCGUAGCUGGUCUGAGAGGAUGAUCAGCCACACUGGAACUGUGACACGGUCCAGACUCCUAGGGGAGGCAGCAGUGGGGAAUAUUGGGCAAUGGGGGGAACCCUGAUCCAGCAAUGCCGCGUGUGUGAAGAAGGCCUUAGGGUUGUAAAGCACUUUCAGUGGAGAGGAAGUUGCGUGUGCUAAUUUCAUACGUAGUUGACGUUACCCACAGAAGAAGCACCGGCUAACUCUGUGCCAGCCGCCGCAGUAA